CACCGGCGGCUCGAGUGGUGGCCACGUUUAUUGGGUCUAAAGCGUCCGUAGCCGGCUUGGCAAGUCCCCUGGGAAAUCUGGCGGCUUAACCGUCAGGCGUCCAGAGGAUACUGCCAGGCUUGGGACCGGGAGAGGUGAGAGGUACCUCAGGGGUAGGGGUGAAAUCUUGUGAUCCCUGAGGGACCACCAGUGGCGAAGGCGUCUCACUAGAACGGGUCCGACGGUCAGGGACGAAAGCUGGGGGCACGAACCGG
rnacentral:rRNA from 1 species